CCUCGCUUGGCCGAGUGGUUAAGGCGAUGGACUGCUAAUCCAUUGUGCUCUGCACGCGUGGGUUCGAAUCCAGUCCUCGUCGA
rnacentral:tRNA from 1 species